rnacentral:lncRNA from 14 species
GGCUGGCGCGGCGAAGGUUGGCGCCAUCUUGCAAUGGCGGAGUCUAUCCUGACCUACCACGUGGGGCGCAGUGGAAGACAGCGCCAUCUAGUGGUGGCGAAUGUAUUGCGGCCCUCUACAAGGAGGUGGCUCAGAAUGAACUGCAAAGCACAGUGACGUUAAUGAAGUAUGUGUGCAUCCAUGAGAAGAAAAUGAACUUGGCGCUCCGGGUCCUUCCUUCCAGUCCUUGCCUGGCUAUGAGCACAUCAAACAAACAUUCAGGCAGAGGACCUUUAAUCAGCUUCUCAAGGACAGCGAAUCGAGCCAGAAAAGUAAUUCAAUCCUCAUGCCCAAGUUACAAGGAAGGUUGGCACUAAAGGAGGUCGUGGUGGAAUAAGGAACUCUCUUCCUCUCUUUCUUGUCUUUUGUCCCCUCUCUGUGGAACAGCGUAGCAAAACAAUCGCUCUGUUUAUUAUGAGCACCUGGAGAGAUGUUCGUUCUGUGCUUGACAAGAGACACUCUGCGCAUUGUUACUUGGGGGAUAAGAGUUCUAGUAACGAACUGUAAGUGUUGGGAAAAUCUCGGGCAACAUGAUAAUAGUGGGUGCAUAUAUUCCCUUAUCUGGUUUAGAAAAAUGAAAUAAAUCUAAGAAGUUGCAGAAGAC